UGACAGCUUUCUGAGACCCUUACUAUGUGGGUAAAGCAGUAUUCUCAAGUAUGGCUGCAUUAUUUCUAAAACCUGAAGAGGCCAAUUGAGGUUAUCAGCACCUACUUUUCACCACCUGUGGUGGAUUAGAGCCCAAGUGAAGAGAUAUGACUGGUUUUGUAACAGUUCUUCACAGGAAAUGCACAGGAUAGAUCAGUUAUACCUCCUGGUUUUGAAAGUAAUGGAUGUCUGAAGAGGGCGCUCUGUGACACCCAGAAGCUCAGGACUCUGCUCGCCAGUGCCUGGUGAGCCACAUUGGUGUAGACGGUCCAUUCUGCAGUCUUCAGGUUGUUUUCAGGGGUGAAGACAUAAACCACAUCACAAUGCAACACAGUAAGA